rnacentral:rRNA from 1 species
GACGAACGCUGGCGGCGUGCUUAACACAUGCAAGUCGAACGAAGUGGCGAACGGGUGAGUAACGCGUAAUCAACCUGCCCUUCAGACGGGGACAACAGUUGGAACCGACUGCUAAUACCGCAUACUGAAGGAGGGGAUUGCGUCUGAUUAGCUAGUUGGAGGGGUAACGGCCCACCAAGGCGAUGAACAGGAGCCGGGCUGAGAGGGUGAACGGCCACAUUGGGACUGAGACACGGCCCAGACUCCUACGGGAGGCAGCAGUGGGGAAUCUUCCGCAAUGGACGAAAGUCUGACGGAGCAACGCCGCGUGAGUGAUGACGGCCUUCGUGUGGUAAAGCUCUGUUAAUCGGGACGCGGUACCGGAAGAGAAAGCCACGGCUAACUACGUGCCAGCAGCCGCGGUAAGUC